GACGAACGCUGGCGGCGUGCCUAAUACAUGCAAGUCGAACGCAUUUUCUUUCACCGUAGCUUGCUACACCGACAGAAAAUGAGUGGCGAACGGGUGAGUAACACGUGGGUAACCUGCCCAUCAGCGGGGGAUAACACUUGGAAACAGGUGCUAAUACCGCAUAAUUCCAUUUACCGCAUGGUAAAUGGAUGAAAGGCGCUUUUGCGUCACUGAUGGAUGGACCCGCGGUGCAUUAGCUAGUUGGUGGGGUAACGGCCUACCAAGGCUGCGAUGCAUAGCCGACCUGAGAGGGUGAUCGGCCACACUGGGACUGAGACACGGCCCAGACUCCUACGGGAGGCAGCAGUAGGGAAUCUUCGGCAAUGGACGCAAGUCUGACCGAGCAACGCCGCGUGAUUGAAGAAGGGUUUCGGAUCGUAAAACUCUGUUGUUAGAGAAGAACAAGGAUGAGAGUGGAAAGUUCAUCCCUUGACGGUAUCUAACCAGAAAGCCACGGCUAACUACGUG
rnacentral:rRNA from 1 species